CGGCGAGUGAAGCGGCAAUAGCUCAAAUUUGAAAGCUGGCGUCUUCGACGUCCGCGUUGUAAUUUGUAGAGGAUGCUUCGGCGAAGACUCCUGCCUAAGUCCCCUGGAACGGGGCGUCAUAGAGGGUGAGAAUCCCGUAUGUGGCGGGCAGUCUAAGCCAUGUGAAGCUCCUUCGACGAGUCGAGUUGUUUGGGAAUGCAGCUCUAAAUGGGAGGUAAAUUUCUUCUAAAGCUAAAUAUUGGCCAGAGACCGAUAGCGCACAAGUAGAGUGAUCGAAAGAUGAAAAGCACUUUGGAAAGAGAGUUAAAAAGUACGUGAAAUUGUUGAAAGGGAAGCGCUUGCAACCAGACUCGCUCGUAGUUGCUCAGCCGGCCUCUUGGCCGGUGUACUCUUCUACGAUCGGGCCAGCAUCAGUUCGGGCGGCAGGAUAAAGGUGUCGGGAAUGUAGCACCCUUCGGGGUGUGUUAUAGCCCGGCGCGGAAUGCUGCCAGCCUGGACUGAGGAUCUCGCUUCGGCAAGGAUGCUGGCGUAAUGGUUGUAAGCGGCCCGUCUUGAAACACGGACCAAGGAGUCUAACAUCUAUGCGAGUGUUUGGGUGUCAAACCCAUGCGCGUAAUGAAAGUGAACGGAGGUGGGAACUCCUCACGGGGUGCACCAUCGACCGAUCCUGAUGUCUUCGGAUGGAUUUGAGUAAGAGCAUAGCUGUUGGGACCCGAAAGAUGGUGAACUAUGCCUGAAUAGGGUGAAGCCAGAGGAAACUCUG
rnacentral:rRNA from 1 species